AGAGUUUGAUCAUGGCUCAGGACGAACGCUGGCGGCGUGCUUAACACAUGCAAGUCGAGCGGUAAGGCCCUUUCGGGGGUACACGAGCGGCGAACGGGUGAGUAACACGUGGGUGACCUGCCCUCAGCUCUGGGAUAAGCCUGGGAAACCGGGUCUAAUACCGGAUAUGACUCCAUGACGCAUGUUGUGGGGUGGAAAGCCUUGUGCGGCUGGGGAUGGGCCCGCGGCCUAUCAGCUAGUUGGUGGGGUAACGGCCUACCAAGGCGACGACGGGUAGCUGGUCUGAGAGGAUGUCCAGCCGGACUGGGACUGAGAUACGGCCCAGACUCCUACGGGGGGCAGCAAUUAGGAAUCUUGCGCAAUGGGCGAAAGCCUGACGCAGCGACGCCGCGUGGGGGAGGAAGGCCUUCGGGUUGUAAACCCCUUUUAUCCGGGAAGAACAAAAUGACGGUACCGGAUGAAUAAGCCACGGCUAACUCCGUGCCAGCAGCCGCGGUAAUACGGAGGUGGCGAGCGUUGUCCGAAGUUACUGGGCGUAAAGCGCGCGUAGGCGGGUUAUUAAGUGAGGGGUGAAAGGCUGAGGCUCAACCUCAUGUUUGUCCUCUCAUACUGAUAGUCUUGAGUGAGGCAGGGAGAAGUGGAAUGGCUGGUGUAGCGGUGAAAUGCGUAGAUAUCAGUCGGAACACCGGUGGCGAAGGCGGCUUCUUGGGCCUUAACUGACGCUGAGGCGCGAAAGCUGGGGGAGCGAACGGGAUUAGAUACCCCCGUAGUCC
rnacentral:rRNA from 1 species